UGAAAAAGAAUAAAAAUCUAAAACAAUGACAUUUUGAUAUUAUCUAUCCAAAUGAUUUUCUUUUCCAAUUUUAGCCAUGCAAUUCCUUAUCAUACAUAGUGUUUCCUCACUGAAUCUUACCAAUGAGUAUCUCAAUCACAAAUGUGUCAUUAAUCAAGGGAAAUAUAACUCAGGAAGUAAGUACGAAGACAACCUCAACUAUGCCUUCCAUCUCGUUUGUACUAAUGCUUAUGCUCGACAUCUCACACACAACUAUCGGAACAUCGACUCCCGAUUCUGUCACUGUAACUCUCCAGUGUCGUGGUGACUCUUACGGGUCUAAAUGCCGUACAUGCAUUGACAUCGCAGUCGCAGGGGUAAUGAGCCGUCAUACAUUUAAAUAUAGAAUUAAGUUUUUGCAGUGUUGUAAAACCUUAUCAUUGUGCAAAAAGAGAAAGGACUACAUGAACCAAAACUCAGAUUAGAGUUAAAUAAAAAUAUUAACUGAAAAAGUUUGACAUUUGUUAUAGAUAGAGAUGGGAGAAUUAUUAAACAUAUGGGGUUAGAUCUGAGAUUCACUCCGGAUCCACUCUUAAUAUCUAGAUAUUCUUAGAAGGUCGGAACCUUGUAAUAGAAUCUCGGAUUGGUUUCCAAAUAUUAAUAUCCACUGCUAUCUUAAUAUUUAGAUUGAUAUUGAAUAUCUGGAUAUCAAAAAAAAUCAUGGAUCGAUAUAUGGAUAGUCAAAACAUGGCUCUAAGGGAUCCGAGUAUCCUGAAAUUUCUGGAUACACAGAUGCUUCUCAACCCUAGUUACAUGAACAUCACAAUUUAUCAUAAAUGUUGUGUAGAAACCGGAUUAUAUUGACAAUGUUUCUAUUAAAUGCAAAUAUAUAUCAAUACAAUACUAAAAGGAGAAUAAGGGCCUCAUUUAGGCUGUCCACGUCAUCAUAAAAAAUCAUCCAAUCAGGUUUUAACGUUUUGCCACGUAAUCAAAGGAUUUCUUAUGUUGGGCUUAAAUUUUUUAUGAGAUAGAAUGUUAAGCUAAAUGGCCCAGGAAGUCCAUUUAAUCGAAAGCAUCGUGACCUAAAGCAUUUCAACAUAUGCAUUUCAUAAAGACAUGGGCCCCAUAGUUCUCGGUUUGGUUUGGUGAUUGCGUUCUGGCGUUUCGUUUUUAAGUUACGCGUCGGUUCAAUUAAUAUUUGGUUAAGUCAUCAAACACAGCGUUUUGUGUUUAAGUAGAUUAGGGUCUCUCUUAUUGUUCUCAGACUCUUGACCUUUGUCGUAUGCGUUCAAUUUCUCUGCAAACACGAAACUUUUCUUCUACAAACUCUUAAUCUUCCCUUAUCGUUCAACGUAUUCUCUUGAUUUACCAAUUAAUGUUUUCGUAUCGACCACUCCGUUUCCUUCAAGUCAAACCUAUAAAAUGGAGAGGGUGGAGGGUUGGCUGAAUCUUCACAUGGUAACUUUCUUAAGCUUCUCACUUCACCUCUGUCGCACGAAUUGUACUUCUGAUUUCUAAUUCUGCUUUAAUAAUUUCGCAGGUGAAGAACCUGAUAACCAAACCAAGUAUAAAGCUCCGUCUCAGUACCGUUUUCACUCUUUUAUAUUCGAUUUGUUGAUUAUUUUUUCAUAUCAGGAGUAUAUUUGAUUGGUACCUGACAUAAGACCGGGGGUUGAUAUACAAGUUAUAAGUUUGAGAACAAUUUUCUGAAAGAUAAAUUUAGAAACCGUUUGUGCUUCUGUUCUUUAGCUCAUGUUCAUAGUGUUCUCCUCUUCUUAACUCAUGUUCAUAUUGUUCUCCUGAUGUUUAAAUUCAUGUUCAUAUUGUUCUGAAACUCAACAGUCAACAUUAUCAAGCUGUUAUAUUCGGAUCUUUAUUGAAAUCUUUUGAAUGAUUAAUGUAGACUUAAAAUAAAUGUGCAAAAAAAUGUUUUUUUGAACAAGUAUAUAGUAAUAAAAGCGAUGUAUGGAGCUUGGGUUUAGUAAUGCUUGAAUUGCGCUGCAAGAAUCAUAUCCACCUCAGCUGAAGAGGAAACAUGGAGCAGUCUUCUCGAGUUCAUGGAAGCUAUUGAUGACCAACCACCGCCCACUCUUCUUCCUUCAGAAAGUUUCUCCUUUUGCCAAAGGACCCAGUCGAAGCUCUGCAAAGGAUCUAAUGGUUUGUUGAAAUCACCAUCCUUGAAAAUCAUCUCAGGAACAUCCUUUCUUGAAGAAGUACGACGACAACUCUGGGACAAAUCUGGCAUCAUACUUCAUAGAUGCAUGGUCUCUGUUUGCAACGCUUAAGAAUCUGUCUGGUUAGUUCUCCGUUUAGGCUCCAGGAAGAUAUCAUAUUAUCAUCAUCAUCUGGUUGUUACUAUUAUUAUCUGAGGUUUCUUUGUUUUAAACCACCAGUAAAAAUAAUAUCUUGAUCAUAUAGAUUUGUGCUAAUGUUGUAUUUAAAGAUUAUAGGAUAUAUGAGAAUCAUGGGACUGAUUAGUGAGUUAUAUUUUUUUGACUAUUUCAAGAUUCAGCAUCUUUAGUGUU